AGCAGCCGCGGUAAUUCCAGCUCCAAUAGCGUAUAUUAAAGUUGUUGCAGUUAAAAAGCCCGUAAGUUGAAUUUCGGGAUCAAUACGCCGGUCGUGCUUCGGUACGUACUAACGAUAUUGAUUUCUCCCUUCUGACGAACCGUGAUGUCAUUAAUUUGGUGUCACGGGGAGUCAGGACUGUUACUUUGAAAAAAUUAGAGUGUUUAAAGCAAGCAAUCGCUCGAAUACAUUAGCAUGGAAUAAUGAAAUAGGACGUUCGAACCUAUUUUGUUGGUUUCUAGGAUCGACGUAAUGAUUAAUAGGGAUAGUUGGGGGCACUAGUAUUCAAUUGUCAGAGGUGAAAUUCUUGGAUUUAUUGAAGACUAACUACUGCGAAAGCAUUUGCCAAGGAUGUUUUCAUUAAUCAAGAACGAAGUUAGGGGAUCGAAGACGAAUCAGAUACCGUCGUAGUCUUAACCAUAAACUAUGCCGACUAGGGAUCGGAUGAUGUUAAUUUUUAAUGACUCAUUCGGCGCCUUAC
rnacentral:rRNA from 1 species